ACCCUAUAAGACGGUGUGGUUUGGGUGUGGUCUGUUAGGAGACUACUGAUUCAGAGUACUGAUUGUACUUGUUUGUCUUUAACUCCAUCAGCAAUUCAGCAUUCAUUUUGGAGUUCCUAUUGAAGCACAGAAACUAAUAUUUAAAGGAAAGACUCUUAGGAAAGAAGAGGAGUUAGUCAGUGAAGCAGGAAUAAAGAAUAAUAGCAAAAUAAUGCUAUUAGGAAGAAAGAUAUACUGAUCCAGCUCAAGACGAGUGUCUCAAGAAGCUGUUAGAUGUACUAGCUGACAGGAAGUCAAAAGGUAGUCUAACUGGUAUUGUGUUAGUUAAUAGAUGACCAUAACCAAAAUACUUCAAGUGUAUGAGUGGUUACGUUGUACAGGAUGAUGUCAUCAUGGGUACUCUCUCUGUCCGUGAGAACUUGUACUUCUUAGCUGCUCUGAGGCUACCGAACAGCAUGAAGUGGGCAGAGAAAAAGAGACGAGUAGAAAAAGUUAUUGGAGAGCUAGGACUAACUGGAUGUGCUGAUACUAAAAUGCUACUAUGAAGUUUUAAGAUCCAAGUUCAGGUUGGCACUGAAUUCAUUCAUGGUGUCAGUGGAGGAGAGAGGAGAGGACUAACAUUGGUAUGGAGCUGAUA